rnacentral:rRNA from 1 species
AUUGAACGCUGGCGGCAUGCCUUACACAUGCAAGUCGAACGGCAGCACGGGAGCAAUCCUGGUGGCGAGUGGCGAACGGGUGAGUAAUAUAUCAGAACGUGCCCAGUCGUGGGGGAUAACGUAGCGAAAGCUACGCUAAUACCGCAUACGAUCUAUGGAUGAAAGCGGGGGAUCGCAAGACCUCGCGCGAUUGGAGCGGCCGAUAUCAGAUUAGGUAGUUGGUGAGGUAAAGGCUCACCAAGCCGACGAUCUGUAGCUGGUCUGAGAGGACGACCAGCCACACUGGGACUGAGACACGGCCCAGACUCCUACGGGAGGCAGCAGUGGGGAAUUUUGGACAAUGGGCGCAAGCCUGAUCCAGCAAUGCCGCGUGCAGGAUGAA